rnacentral:rRNA from 1 species
AGCAGCCGCGGUAAUUCCAGCUCCAAUAGCGUAUAUUAAAGUUGUUGCAGUUAAAAAGCUCGUAGUUGAAUUUCGGGAUCAAUAUGUCGGUCGUGCCUCGGUACGUACUGGCGUAAUUGGUUUCUACCUUCUGAGGAUCCUUGAUGUCAUUAAUUUGGUGUCUUGGGGAAUCAGGACUGUUACCUUGAAAAAAUUAGAGUGUUUAAAGCAGGUAUACGCUUGAAUACAUUAGCAUGGAAUAAUGAAAUAGGACGUUCGAUUCUAUUUUGUUGGUUUCUAGGAUCGACGUAAUGAUUAAUAGGGAUAGUUGGGGGCAUUAGUAUUCAAUUGUCAGAGGUGAAAUUCUUGGAUUUAUUGAAGACUAACUACUGCGAAAGCAUUUGCCAAGGAUGUUUUCAUUAAUCAAGAACGAAAGUUGGGGGAUCGAAGACGAUCAGAUACCGUCGUAGUCUUAACCAUAAACUAUGCCGACUAGGGAUCGGAUGAUGUUAAUUUUUAAUGACUCAUUCGGCGCCUUACG